rnacentral:rRNA from 1 species
GAUGAACGCUGGCGGCGUGCCUAAUACAUGCAAGUCGAGCGAACAGACGAGGAGCUUGCUCCUCUGACGUUAGCGGCGGACGGGUGAGUAACACGUGGAUAACCUACCUAUAAGACUGGGAUAACUUCGGGAAACCGGGGCUAAUCCCGGAUAAUAUAUUGAACCGCAUGGUUCAAUAGUGAAAGACGGUUUUGCUGUCACUUAUAGAUGGAUCCGCACCGCAUUAGCUAGUUGGUAAGGUAACGGCUUACCAAGGCGACGAUGCGUAGCCGACCUGAGAGGGUGAUCGGCCACACUGGAACUGAGACACGGUCCAGACUCCUACGGGAGGCAGCAGUAGGGAAUCUUCCGCAAUGGGCGAAAGCCUGACGGAGCAACGCCGCGUGAGUGAUGAAGGUCUUCGGAUCGUAAAACUCUGUUAUUAGGGAAGAACAAAUGUGUAAGUAACUAUGCACGUCUUGACGGUACCUAAUCAGAAAGCCACGGCUAACUACGUG